UGGGCGUCAGUCUAUGGAAGUUGGACAUGAGAUGCUGUUUCAAACUUCGCCUCUGAGCUAUGUGGCGGCCACACAGGGGACAUGAACAGCUCUGUCGUGACGGGGAAGUGCAUGAAUUCCCACUGUUGCCUUUCCCUGCUGAAACCUGUUGUAUAGGUACCAGGUGAUGAUUGGUCAGCAGAGGGUUAGUGAGAUCAGAUGCAGCAAGCAGAGCAGAGGUGCAAGGUGGAUCCGCCUAACGACCCAACGAGACUCUCCAGGGCUGACAUGGUACUGCCGCCUGUAGGGGAGAUAGGCAUUAGUUUGCUGCAUCCUACUCUGCAUGUUAAAGCAUUCUUAAUCCCAAGUGAUAAAAAAAAAAAAAAAAUCCCUU